rnacentral:rRNA from 1 species
UACGAAGGGUGCAAGCGUUACUCGGAAUUACUGGGCGUAAAGCGUGCGUAGGCGGUUUGUUAAGUCUGUCGUGAAAGCCCUGGGCUCAACCUGGGAAUUGCGAUGGAUACUGGCAAGCUAGAGUACGGUAGAGGAUGGUGGAAUUCCCGGUGUAGCGGUGAAAUGCGUAGAGAUCGGGAGGAACACCCGUGGUGUAGACAGCUUACUGGACCAUUACUGACACUGAGACACGAAAGCGUGGGUAGCAAACAGG